CUAGUCUGCUUCCUAGUCACUGAACAACAACUUAGGGAACUGAAACCCAGAUUCUUGGCUUUUUGAGACACAAGAGACUUAAGCCUUCAGCUAGGGAUGGCAGCAUGUCCUCUGAGAGUUAUCAGGGGUUCUCAGCAUCCCUUUCAUGGAGCCCUGAACACUGCACAAGAACAAAACAAAACAAAACCAUGUCUCAUAUAUCCUUUAAGUAAAAAUGAGUAUUAUCAAGAUUGACUUGGCAAACA